rnacentral:rRNA from 1 species
AACGAACGCUGGCGGCAGGCCUAACACAUGCAAGUCGAGCGCGUGUAGCAAUACACGAGCGGCGCACGGGUGAGUAGCGCGCGGGAAUCUGCCCUGUGGUGGGGGACAACCUCGGGAAACUGAGGCUAAUACCGCAUACGUCCUUCGGGAGAAAGACUUCGGUCGCCAUAGGAGGAGCCCGCGUCCGAUUAGCUAGUUGGUGAGGUAAUGGCUCACCAAGGCGACGAUCGGUAGCUGGUCUGAGAGGACGGCCAGCCACACUGGGACUGAGACACGGCCCAGACUCCUACGGGAGGCAGCAGUGGGGAGUAUUGGACAAUGGGGGCAACCCUGAUCCAGCCAUGCCGCGUGAGUGAUGAAGGCCUUCGGGUUGUAAAGCUCUUUUAGCGGGGAAGAUGGUGACGGUACCCGCAGAAUAAGCCCCGGCUAACUUCGUGCCAGCCGCCGCCGUAA